rnacentral:rRNA from 1 species
GUAGGGGAGCAUUCUAACGGCGCCGAAGCAGUAUCGCGAGGUAUUGUGGAGCGGUUAGAAAAGCAAAUGUAGGCAUAAGUAACGAUAAGGCGGGUGAGAAACCCGCCCACCGAUAGACUAAGGUUUCCUGAUCAACGCUAAUCGGAUCAGGGUUAGUCGGGACCUAAGGCGAACCCGAAAGGGGUAGUCGAUGGCCAACGGGUUAAUAUUCCCGUACUACCAUACUCAGUGAUGGGGUGACGGAGUAGUGAAAGCGCUGCGUGCUGACGGAAUAGCACGUUGAAGGGUGUAGGUAUUGGUUGAGUAGGCAAAUCCGCUCGACUAGCUGAACCUGAUAGUACCACAAUCCUUCGGGAGCGUGGAUAAUGCGCCUAAUCAGACUUCCAAGAAAAACCUCUAAACUUAUGUGUAUGGUACCUGUACCGUAAACCGACACAGGUAGUCAAGGAGAGAAUCCUAAGGUGCUCGAGUGAUUCAUGGCUAAGGAACUCGGCAAAAUAGUCCUGUAACUUCGGGAGAAAGGACGCCCCUCUUAUUGGGGGGCCGCAGUGAAAAGGCCCAGGCGACUGUUUAUCAAAAACACAUGGCUUUGCAAAAACGAAAGUUGAAGUAUAAGGCCUGACACCUGCCCGGUGCUGGAAGGUUAAAAGG